rnacentral:rRNA from 1 species
AAAUUGAAGAGUUUGAUCAUGGCUCAGAUUGAACGCUGGCGGCAGGCCUAACACAUGCAAGUCGAGCGGAAACGAGUUGUCUGAACCUUCGGGGAACGAUAACGGCGUCGAGCGGCGGACGGGUGAGUAAUGCCUAGGAAAUUGCCCUGAUGUGGGGGAUAACCAUUGGAAACGAUGGCUAAUACCGCAUGAUGCCUACGGGCCAAAGAGGGGGACCUUCGG